UAAAUCUAUCAUUUUGGGGGGAAUUGGAUUUCUAUGAAUCAAAAUUCUCAAUUACACAAAGUUGAUUUGGACCGUUUGGUUCAAGGAAUUGGUCACAUUCCCCUGAAAUUGGAUUACUUGUAAUCCAAUAACUUGAACCAAACAUGCUGUUAGUAACUGCACAGCAACCUUAAAAAUGAUUUAACCUUUCGAUCCCCUUUUCAUCAAGAUAAUUUCAAUCAAGCACCGACGUUGAAUAACCCUCUCACCUUCUUCCUCUUAUUAAAUGUAUUUCGACGUUACAAUCAUCUCAGUUUUCAAUGGCUUCUCCAUAUAUAAUGUCACAUCCCAUUCGAAGACAACAUUCGUUUCACCGGUUCAUGAAAAAAGAAACCCAAGUUGAGUUUUUGGUUUAACCCAUGAAGAAGGAAACCCAGCAAUAUUCACUUUUCUUAAAUAGCCUCAAGAUUAUGACAAUGGCCAUCAAACCAAGUGAAAUUUGACAGGAGCAAAAGAUGUCUCUUCUUAUCUCUAUGCGGGACAACGCACGCACUGGAAUCCACUGUCUUCCGGGUUUGCUUAUGGUUUCAAGUAAGUCAACAGCCAUGUAUGUGAUUAGUAGAAUUAGAAUAUAGUAUAACAGGAAUGAUAUGAAGAGUCGAAGUUGACGGUGCAGAAAGUUCAGGCCAUCCAAACAAUGAAGGUGGAUUUCCGGUGGACAAUUAGUUGUCAUGUCCAAAACUAAUCAGUUGCUACAACUCUUUCACAAACCUAAAAUAGAGGUAAACAUAAAGUCUAUUGUGUUUCCCAUUGUUAUUUUGAAUUACAGUAACAAAUUGAUUAAAAUGGUUAAAUAAAUCAAACAAAUGCCUGAAUACCUUUUAUACACAGGAUGGAACUGUACUCACCAUUCCUGCAAAAAUCAAUAUUUGUAUCCAUGAUAAGUUUGCAUUUCAUGUCCAAAACUGAGAUGCUCAUCCAUGAACUCCUGGGCACCAUGCCUAUAUCUGCCCCAUAUUUUCCCAACUGAUGUUUUUUCUGUGUUUGCAAGUACCCGUAAGCAAGAACCCCAUGACAUAUUUCAAUGCCCGUUAGGAAAGGUACAUCACACUUACCUAUUUUCGAUGCUGACAAUCGGAAACCCAUCUCCCAGCUUUUAUCUGCCAAAUGGGAUCCAGCCAACCGGGUUAGUUUACACUCAUUUUUUCUAUAGGGGUACCCCAUAUUUAUCCCUGAAAAAUAAUGACUCUUUCUGUAUUUGCCGAUAGAACUUUAACCUUGAACAUGCAAGACGCAAAUGUGAUAAUGUUUAAUGCCACCCCACCAAGGUACUGUUUGAAAAUGGUUGGAAAUAUCUUGCAUUUCCUUGGUGUAACAAGAAAGUUUUUGGUGAUGUUGGUGACCUUUGGUGCAGUUAAUGUGAAACAUAAGGUGAGGUGCCCAUCACAAGGUAAACUCCCUGCACUCUAUAUUUCCUUAUUCGAAUAACUCUAAAACCAUCGAUCCAUUCAUUCUUUUGUUGACGUUUUCAUCCGGUCCUUUUUACCUUGGAGGUUCCUACUCCUCAUUGAAGUCGGAAACAACAGUGGCUCAGUUUCUUACCUCCGUUAGUUUUCAAUUCUAAUUUUUCUGCCAGUUUUGGUGUUUCUUUGGUUCAUUUAUCUUAAAGAAAUCUGCAAUCUUUAGUUUGCAGUACAAUUUAUAUAUUUUUCAAUUAUUUUGUAUUAGUAAAUUUAAAUCUGAGGAAUUAAACACCCAGUAGUUCACUAAUAGAUUUGAGGAAACUGAUUAUAUCUCGUUCGUUCUUAAUUUUCAUUUUUCCUAACUUUUUUUCUUUUUGGUUUUUAUAUUUCUUUGGAUUAUAAUAUUUAACUUAUCGAUAUACAGCUUUCAGUUGCAGGCGAGCGUGAGAAGGGCACAAACACCACAACAUUUACAACAGCUUGGUACAUUUGUUAUUGCACUUUUAAAUUUGGCUAAACUUAUAAAUGAUGUUUGGGUAUUACCCAAGUUUUCUUCAGCUGUCUAUGUGGAAUCCGAACUGAUAGUAGAUAGGCUUAAUGUCUCAACUGGAAAGAUGGAUAUGGUAAUAUCUUUCAUGAUUUAAUUUUUAAUUAGUAAUCCAUGUCCUAAGCAGUCUAGUAGACCAGACAGAUAGGUUAUAUAAUAAUAAGAGAAGAGCAGCUGAGCUAAAAGAAAUAUGUGAGACUGUUAGUCGUUAGAUGUAAACCAAGUGGAGGAUUACUGUCGACUGAUUGGCAUAGACGUAUUUUUUUCUCAAAGGAACGUAGGUCGGCAGCAUUCCUCUCUAAAUUUGAAGAACACUUGCAAGACUUCAAGAUUGAUGAACAUGUGGAAAUUUUUUGACUGCGAAUAAGAAGUAAAAUGUCGAGUUACAGGCGCAACUUGGAGCUAUAAUCAGCAACCUUUAUAGAAGGCUGCAGGAACAUACCAAGGUGUACGAUAAUUUAUUCUUCUUGAUUUUAUAUUGUUUUGGUUUUUUACUAUCUUCGGUUACAUUGAUGUAGAGAUGUGUAUAUGUGAUUCUUAUUGUAAAAAUCUGCGCGAGAAUAGGUUUUUGACAUUGCAGUUAGUGGAGGAAAUUAAAAAUGAUGAAGAAGUGGUUUUGAGUGUUGAAGGAUCCGAAAGUGACAGGUUUCAAAAGAGGUUCAAGCCCGUACUAGGGUUUACAUAAAGGAAAGAACUGAUGCGAAUGGCAACAACAUAGUAGGAAGAAAAUGUACUAAGGUACAUAUCUUUCUUUAUACAUACGAGCCCUCAUAAGCACUAAUAAGGCCGAUCAGAGCUGCACGAUCGCUGUAUGGCGUUAGGCAGCCACCAUGUAGGGCAGUCGCUACCUUCAGCAUUAUUUGAUCGCAGUUUAAGAUGUACCGACAUGAAAAUAGGGCUUGACAUGACAAAACCGAAGUGCGAAUGAAAAAUUCGAAUACAAGUACGAGAACCUUCGCACGCAGACGUCCCAGUCAGGAUGACAUGAAGGCAAUUCCCAGCAUAUGCAAUGACAAUAAACAAGUCUCAGGGACAGUCCGUGAAAUUCGUGGGAAUCGAUUUGAGAACACCGGUGUUCGGUCAUGGACAGCUAUAUGUGGCUUUAUCAAGAUGGACGACGGCUAGGCAGAUGAGGUUGUUGAUGCCAGAGAAUGACGAAGGAACAACCACUACGAAUUUGGUCUAGCAGGAUCUAAAUCGCAUGGACGAAAUUUACUAUUACUUCAUAUGGGGAGGGGUGAGUAUUUCUGGACAAAAUAAGAAAGUGAUUCUGCAGUUUGGGUAGGUAGAAGUUUAGACCUUUUUGGCUUAUUUUCAUGAACAUCGGGAUUUUUUUUUUAGGGGAAUCAUAAGACAAGAUAUUUUUGGUUC